rnacentral:tRNA from 1 species
GGGAUUGUGGCUCAGUGGUAGAGCACUUGCCUGGCAUGUGUGAGGCACUGGGUUCAAUCCUCAGCACCA